rnacentral:rRNA from 1 species
GAUGAACGCUGGCGGCGUGCCUAAUACAUGCAAGUCGAGCGAACAGACGAGGAGCUUGCUCCUCCGACGUUAGCGGCGGACGGGUGAGUAACACGUGGAUAACCUACCUAUAAGACUGGGAUAACUUCGGGAAACCGGAGCUAAUACCGGAUAAUAUAUUGAACCGCAUGGUUCAAUAGUGAAAGACGGUUUUGCUGUCACUUAUAGAUGGAUCCGCGCCGCAUUAGCUAGUUGGUAAGGUAACGGCUUACCAAGGCGACGAUGCGUAGCCGACCUGAGAGGGUGAUAGGCCACCUUGGAACGUGGACAGGGUCCAGACUCCUACGGGAGGCAGCAGUAGGGAAUCUUCCGCAAUGGGCGAAAGCCUGACGGAGCAACGCCGCGUGAGUGAUGAAGGUCUUCGGAUCGUAAAACUCUGUUAUUAGGGAAGAACAAAUGUGUAAGUAACUAUGCACGUCUUGACGGUACCUAAUAAGAAAGCCACGGCUAACUACGUG